ensembl:lncRNA
CUUGAGCUUGGUCACACUGACUCUCUGGUGGCUUUAAUUAAAAGGUUUCUACCCAUCAGUGUCUGCAGAGGUCUCUUAACUUGUACUUGCUUUUGGAGCCCAGUCCCAGGCUCAUUGGUGCUAAGUGAAAAGCCAUCCUCUGAGCAAGUACGCUAACCUUGUCUUAACUUAUGGAAAGAAAUUAAAAAGUGAUUAAAUAAUUAAUACUGGAUGUUGCUUAACACUUGGUAAGAGUGUUAGUUAAUAAUCUUCUGAAGCUUUUUUUUCUAAUUUGGGAAUAAAAUAGAUAUAAUUUAGCAUGUCAUUCUGAAGCAGCAAAUAAUGCUGUACAGAGAAUCGAAGGAAAUGUGUUUCUUUGAUUAGGAUGUUUUUCUCAUUAACGGGAUGCUCAAAAUAAAGCAAAAAUAUUUGAUGCACAGAGCCAGUGGCAGUAUCAAGUGAACGGUGGCAUGCUCCUGCAUUUUACCUCGUGUUUACUAAUCAAUCAGAAAGGACUCUUGCCACCAAGAAAGGUCACAUCUUUCAUCACAAAACUGAAACUCUUUGACAACAAUCAAAACUUCACUGCUUUGUUUAAUGUGGAUUCCAGCACAGAAGACCCAGGCCGUGAAGAUGGUGGGUGUGGGAUGAGGUGAAUGCGCAGAGCUAUGAUUCCCAACUGUUUGUUGCUCCCUACUGUGAGUCUGCGUGUCACAAGCAAAAAUGUGUUAAAAGCCCUUGAAAGAACUGGGUUGUAAUUGGCUGAUCAUGAACGCUGGUUUUGCUGCUUUCUUUUCCCUCUGCUGGCUGCCUAGGCAUUAGCAUCUCCAAGGAGUCUUCUGGGCAGUGACAAUAGUGGGAUGCAGACCCAAGCUGGCCUGGUCCCCUGGAGGAAUCAUUGGGCGGUUGUUUAAAGCUGGUACAGCAUGGAAUACAGCAGAGGAGCCUUGACCUUUAUUUGUAAGCAUGGAAAUAAGGAAAGGAAGCACAAAAGAGGGCACCGCUUCUACAAAAGGAGCAGAAAUAGGAAAAGCUGUACAUCAAGUCUUGGUUAACAACAUCCUGAAGAAACACUGUGGAGAGUCAUCUAGCAACGAGUGCACACAGGAAUAUAGAAAAGGACUUGCUAAACAGGUAUUUGACUUCCAAUAAGCUUUUAAGAGUUGUUAUGUAAUCUCAAUCAUUUUUCUCUAGAGAACAUCACUAAUGAAUGGUAUCACAAUGGUCUCAAUCAGUUAAGUGUAUCAACCUACCAAAAAAAGUAGCAACAAAAUGCGAAAGGGAAAACAAAAGCUAAGACCAGGUGCUCAUUCUAUUUAAGUACUGAGCAUAUCUAGGAUCCUCACAUAACCAAAAGUCUCUAAUCAAACCGUAUUGCUCUAUUAGCACCUGUUGGGCUUAACUGCCUGAAGUGUGCUUUAAACAUGCUUCUUAGCACAUCACAGGCGGAAACUAUACUUGACUCAUACAUAAGAGAGAAGCGGGAGUAAAUAUCUGUUGAUACAAAACAAAGCUUAGUCAUAAUUGAGGCAGCAACUUAACAAGACUUGAGAUAGCAAGGUAGACUUGAUGAUUUACUCCACAGAGUUAAACAGACCAAUCCAGGAGACUUUCUCCUUAAGCAACAAGAUUCAAGAGUUAACUCUUCACUUUUUAAACUUCAGCCUAGAUACUGCUGAAUCCAAGCCUAGUCUUAGGCAUGGUCAAUGCUUUGCAUAAAAACAUUAUAUGUGAACAAUCAAAGAUAUAAUCUUAGCAGAUCUAAGAAAGCUUAAAACAAAGCAUAAGUCACUUACCAAGGAGCUGUAUCAAACAGGUAUGUGGAUGUCAAGAAGUAUCUGCAGCAGAUAUAACCUCAAAACACACCCCUACUCAAAGAGAAGGUACUCUUGGGCUGCUCACUAUUUAUGGGGUAAGAUGGUUGACUCAGAGUUUUGGCCUAUGCUCAAUUGAAUUUCUGCAGUUGCACCAGGUGUCUGCUAUCAGUUCUUUGAGCACCCAGUUUGAGACAGAUUUGUGGUCGUUAUCUGUCUUGACAAAACCUUGAUAGUCACCUGUUCUGAGUAAGGCCCUGGGUAUAUCUCACUGUUUGUCUGAGAAAAGCCUUGAGUGCAACAACAAAGCUGCAGAAGGAAUUUGGGAGGGUGUGUUA